GACGAACGCUGGCGGCGUGCCUAAUACAUGCAAGUUGAGCGAUGAAGAUUGGUGCUUGCACCAAUUUGAAGAGCAGCGAACGGGUGAGUAACGCGUGGGGAAUCUGCCUUUUAGCGGGGGACAACAUUUGGAAACGAAUGCUAAUACCGCAUAACAACUUUAAACAUAAGUUUUAAGUUUGAAAGAUGCAAUUGCAUCACUCAAAGAUGAUCCCGCGUUGUAUUAGCUAGUUGGUGAGGUAAAGGCUCACCAAGGCGAUGAUACAUAGCCGACCUGAGAGGGUGAUCGGCCACAAUGGGACUGGGAAACGGCCCAAACUCCUACGGGAGGCAGCAGUAGGGAAUCUUCGGACAUGGACGGAAGUCUGACCGAGCAACGCCGCGUGAGUGAAGAAGGUUUUCGGAUCGUAAAACUCUGUUGGUAGAGAAGAAAGUUGGUGAGAGUGGAAAGCUCAUCAAGUGACGGUAACUACCCAGAAAGGGACGGCUAACUACGUG
rnacentral:rRNA from 1 species